rnacentral:rRNA from 1 species
GAUGAACGCUGGCGGCGUGCCUAAUACAUGCAAGUCGAGCGAAUGGAUUAAGAGCUUGCUCUUAUGAAGUUAGCGGCGGACGGGUGAGUAACACGUGGGUAACCUGCCCAUAAGACUGGAUAACUCCGGGAAACCGGGGCUAAUACCGGAUAAUAUUUUGAACUGCAUGGUUCAAAAUUGAAAGGCGGCUUCGGCUGUCACUUAUGGAUGGACCCGCGUCGCAUUAGCUAGUUGGUGAGGUAACGGCUCACCAAGGCAACGAUGCGUAGCCGACCUGAGAGGGUGAUCGGCCACACUGGGACUGAGACACGGCCCAGACUCCUACGGGAGGCAGCAGUAGGGAAUCUUCCGCAAUGGACGAAAGUCUGACGGAGCAACGCCGCGUGAGUGAUGAAGGCUUUCGGGUCGUAAAACUCUGUUGUUAGGGAAGAACAAGUGCUAGUUGAAUAAGCUGGCACCUUGACGGUACCUAACCAGAAAGCCACGGCUAACUACGUGCCAGCAGCCGCCGCGG